GAUUGUAACGCGUGGAUAACCUGCCUACAUGCCUGGGACAACACCGGGAAACUGGUGCUAAUACCGGAUACGCUCAUCUUUAUACAUGUAGAGAUGAGGAAAGGAGAAAUCCGCAUAUAGAUGGGUCCGCGUCCCAUUAGCUAGUUGGGGGUGUAAUAGACCACCAAGGCGACGAUGGGUAGCCGGCCUGAGAGGGUGGACGGCCACACUGGAACUGAGACACGGUCCAGACUCCUACGGGAGGCAGCAGUGGGGAAUCUUCCGCAAUGGGCGAAAGCCUGACGGAGCAACGCCGCGUGAGUGAAGAAGGCCUUCGGGUCGUAAAACUCUGUCUUCAGGGAAGAAAAAAAUGACGGUACCUGAGGAGGAAGCCCCGGCUAACUACGUGCCAGCAGCCGCGGUAAAACGUAGGGGGCGAGCGUUGUCCGGAAUUACUGGGCGUAAAGGGCGCGUAGGCGGUUAUUUAAGUCAGAGGUGAAAACUACCGGCUCAACCGGUAGCCUGCCUUUGAAACUGGAUGACUUGAGGGCAGGAGAGGGGAGUGGAAUUCCCAGUGUAGCGGUGAAAUGCGUAGAUAUUGGGAGGAACACCAGUGGCGAAGGCGGCUCUCUGGCCUGUUUCUGACGCUGAGGCGCGAAAGCGUG
rnacentral:rRNA from 1 species